GAGAUGGACCCGCGUCUGAUUAGCUAGUUGGCAGGGCAACGGCCUACCAAGGCGACGAUCAGUAGCCGACCUGAGAGGGUGACCGGCCACAUUGGGACUGAGACACGGCCCAAACUCCUACGGGAGGCAGCAGUGGGGAAUAUUGCACAAUGGGGGAAACCCUGAUGCAGCGACGCCGCGUGAGCGAAGAAGUAUUUCGGUAUGUAAAGCUCUAUCAGCAGGGAAGAAGAAAUGACGGUACCUGACUAAGAAGCACCGGCUAAAUACGUGCCAGCAGCCGCGGUAAUACGUAUGGUGCAAGCGUUAUCCGGAUUUACUGGGUGUAAAGGGAGCGCAGGCGGAAGGCUAAGUCUGAUGUGAAAGCCCGGGGCUCAACCCCGGUACUGCAUUGGAAACUGGUCAUCUAGAGUGUCGGAGGGGUAAGUGGAAUUCCUAGUGUAGCGGUGAAAUGCGUAGAUAUUAGGAGGAACACCAGUGGCGAAGGCGGCUUACUGGACGAUAACUGACGCUGAGGCUCGAAAGCGUGGGGAGCAAACAGGAUUAGAUACCCUGGUAGUCCACGCCGU
rnacentral:rRNA from 1 species